AAAUAAAUACGCAAGCACAAGAAUGCAGAGAAAAGAGAGCGAAAAGCAGAGCCCAGCAGUGUUAUAGUGCUUAAAUCCAUCCAAGAUGAUAUAAAACUGCAAGCAAACAGAGAGUCCAGAUGCAUUAAGUCAUGUGAGACCACAGCUCUCGCUGAACUUCUGGAAAAGCCUGGAAAACACCAGCUCUGUGGUAAGACAGAGCUGCAGAAGGUCACCUACAGGCAACACCUCGGGCUCCUGAUCCUGAGCCACAAAAGUCACUGGCAGCGCUGGUAUAAAUCCCAGUGGAGAUCAGACAAACCCUCACAUGCCACAUGCAUUUGUCAUGCCAAAAGAAAAAAGAGAGUUUUGCUCACAUCCCAGGAAAAGCAAAGGAAAAGCAAAGGAAAAGCAAAGGAAAAGCAAAGGAAAAGCAAAGGAAAAGCAAAGGAAAAGCAAAGGAAAAGCAAAGGAAAAGCAGCAUGACACCCACAGGCAGAAGCCACAUCUGCUGCCUCUGCGCACGUACUCUGGCAACCAAAUGAGGAGCGAGUGGCUCCGCUGCAGGUCAGGAGCAAACCAGCCUGCGGCUGAUGGGACCAAUCAGCUAAAUAACGUGGCUUUAAUUUCAGAGCAUCCUGAGCAGCAAGACACUGAGCCCGGCUCAUGAGAAGUGCCAGCAGCAUGAAAAGCUAGAAAAUCACCACCAGUUUGCAGAGCCACCAUCAACUGAAACGGGAAAGAAAAACGAAAAUCAAAUAAAUCAAUUGCAUUGAUCUCCUCAAUCCCGCCAAGAGGUAAACUUCAAACUGGCCCGGUUGGGGAGCAGAGGAUUCAGCCCCUUUGUGACCUUUUCCCUCAAACCAAUCCAGCCAUCUCUAACUGCUGCAUGGCUCACAUACUUGCAUUUUUACACAAUCCUCUCCUGUUACUUUUUACCUCGUCUGUUCCCCAUGCUCACAACCCAUUUCCUCAUUAGACAUUGCUCACUGAAGCUCUGUAGGAUAUUAUUUGAAAGAAAUCUGGUUUAAUUUAAUAGAAAGGAGUUAAGGUUUUGUUUUCACCCAUCAUAAUUUGUAGUGCUUUGUAUUAACGCUCAUCAGCAGGCAGGCUAGUAACACAACUAAUUGGAAAGAGGGGGGAAGGCUUCCACCAAAGCUUCCUUAAAAUAAAAAGUUGAUUUUUUUAAAGAAGUUUCAAUUUUUCAACAAGUGUAAAAAUAAAUUUCUAAAAAACAAAACAAAACAAAAUCAAGAGAGACCCUCUGUGAAAUGUUUUGCUCAAUCAAACCCGCAAUCUUUCAUUCAAGCGAUGCUUAACUCCACCUCAGCCUUCUGGUUAUGUUGUUACAUCUGACAGCUUUUAGCAACUUUGAGUGGCACCCACGCAUUUUUUUCUGAAUCAAUGCAGAGAAUAAACCCCCAAGCAUGCUGGAGUGUCACAGCCAGCAUUUCCAGGAGUGGGAUGGAGCUCAUUUUCCACGAAACCGCACAGAAUAUUGCUGCUCUGAACGCUGCUCGUUUGUCACAGCCCCUCGGUGAUCACGUUCAGCCCCGCACACAGGGAUUCUGCCCUAAACCAUCUACUCCAGCUCCAGCCCUCAGCUGGGACCAGCCAAGCAUCUGCUGCAGCUGCUGUGUUGCAACCAGACCAAUGUGACCUCAAGGUAUUGCCUGCAGUAACAAGCUUAAUCUGACCCUCUUGGAAUGAAACACAAAUUACAGUGGGAUGCUUUGAGGUUUUUUUUAAGACACUUAAACAGCUGGUGCCAGCAGGUGAUGCGUUGCUAUUUAAUUUAUCAAAGCCCCUGGACCAGCUAACAGGGAAAAGAAAAGGUCUUAAUUCUCAAGCCAAACGAACAAGUUAUAGGAAUAGAAACAAUAAAUCAGAGUGCAAAUCUACUCGCUCGGCAAGUUAAGUUGAGUGAGCAAAAAAAACGGGUAUGGGGGAUAGGACAGAGCUGCACCCCAAUACUGACCUCCAUCCGCAACCCGGCCACGUGCAUGCAAAAGGUUUUUCUCCUGUAUGCCUCCUCAGGUGGGCUUUCAAAUGGCUGCUUUUCGUGUACAUCUUGGUACAACCAGGAAAAGAACAUUUGUGCAUUUUAAUGAGUUCUGCUGCAGGGUUCUUUUGAAAUUUCUGACCCAUGAUGAUUCCCGUCUGACCCUGGAUCAUGCCUCCUGGCCCAAUUGGCUUGGCGGCGAUGGGGACGGGAGCAAUGCGGACAAAUUUAGAGGACAAGUUCAAAUUGGAUGACUGAACUAUCUGAGGCACAAGGGCAAAUGUCUGUCCUUGGAUGUUGACUAGGAGUUGUGCAAUUUUAACGUUCUCUUGUGCUGGUCCUUGGGAACUAGAGCUGGUGUUGGACUCCUGUUUGAUCUGUACAGGCUGAAUUUGCAGCAUAACUGGUAUCCCAUUCUCCAGGGACAUUCCCCCAUUUGAAGCUUGGCCACCUUCCGUUGAGCUGCUCAACUGUUCAUUUUUGCUCUCUUUUAAACUAGCGCUGGGUACCAUAUGGUCUUUCUGCUGUAGCGAAGCAACAGAAACUUGGCUGCAAGAUCUCAAGUCCUUGGUCUCACUUUUAGGUCUUUCUUUGAGCUCCAACUCCAUGUUCUCCUCCAGAAACUCCUCAAUUUCCUCAAGCGUGGGCUGAAAUGGUCCAGAGUCUUCCAUAUCCACAGCAAAUUCAGGCAACCUAAAGUACUCCUCUUUCACUAUCGGCUGAAGUCUCCUUUUGUCCCACCAUGAUGCAGCGGCAUUGCCCAAAGAUGCCUGGGACAAUAAAUAGUCUAAGAUACUGUCCUGACUUUCCGCACUGGAUGUGCUUCCAUAGCUGGAGCUGAGAACCUGGGAGUCAGGGCUGGAACAAGAACAAAAGCUGGACGAGUCGCUGUCAUCUUCUGACAGGGGAGAGGGCAACAUUUGGUAGGACCUCACCCCUGCUGUCAUGUCCCCGAAGUAUCCAAGAGAAGAUCUUGUAGAUGAAAAGGAUUCAUCAGUAGGCAGCAAGUGAUCCACCAUUCCUGAGCUAUCUCCUAGGGUUAUCCCAACAGCAUAUACCACGCAGCAAAAGUUCAGGUGAGAGCCUGAGUGUAGGAAAACAAAACAGCAACAGUCAGAAGUUGGUUUAAUCAUUUAUCUCCAUGAACUAAAGCUCAUAAAGCCCUCUAGCUCACGGGAAAGUCCAAAGCAACCAGCCUCACUGAGUACACACGCUGCUACAUGCUUUGAUACGUCUGUACCACCCCCUAAGGACUGCCAGGGACAAAGCAUUUUGCAGGAUUGCACCAUGUAUUUGCAAAAGAAACCCUUCAGAAAUCGUUUCCCAACUGAACACGCUCUAGAUUUACAGCUCCCUUCCAGAAUAUUAUUGGGAACAGAAAAUAAACCAUGGGCUUUCACCUAACAGUGAAACCCAGGGCCAUGGGAGGGAAUGGGGAGAGAAAACAAAAAUGAAGUGUUGAAAUUCUUACCAUCCAGAAAAACAAAUAAAAAAAGAAGUUU